rnacentral:tRNA from 1 species
GGUGGGAUAGCUCAGGCGGUAGAGCAGUGGACUGAAAAUCCUCGUGUCGCCAGUUCGACUCUGGCUCCCACCACCA